UACGUAGGUGGCAAGCGUUGUCCGGAAUUAUUGGGCGUAAAGCGCUCGCAGGCGGUCCUUUAAGUCUGAUGUGAAAUCUUGCGGCUUAACCGUAAGCGGUCAUUGGAAACUGGAGGACUUGAGUACAGAAGAGGAGAGUGGAAUUCCACGUGUAGCGGUGAAAUGCGUAGAGAUGUGGAGGAACACCAGUGGCGAAGGCGACUCUCUGGUCUGUAACUGACGCUGAGGAGCGAAAGCGUGGGGAGCAAACAGG
rnacentral:rRNA from 1 species